UCUCUCACGAACCCUUCAUGCGCACGCUAGCGAGGAAAAAGACACAGCGAUUUACUGAGACCAGGUCGGGAGUUAGAGACAACGCCAUGUCAUCAUUCCUGCGCCAUCUCGCGCUGCUCCGCCUUUCUUUUCUGAGAUCGGUCAGGGUUUUUGUGUUUCCUUUUGUAUCUUCCUUUUGAUGCAUUGCAACGGAUCCUGUAAUCGAUGGCGAGCCAACCCCGUUGAAGGACCAAUUGACUUUGUUCUGUGCUGCACAGCAGAGUGUGGUAGGCCAGCUGCAACAAAACAAAAACACACCACGCCACUUUGAACUUGCUGUUCCCCUUCUUCACACACAUCCCCCUGGACUUACGGACGGUUUAUUUUAAGGACUUUUUACGGACUCUAUACAUCCCACGAACAGGAAGGGAAGUGGGUGUGGGUGGUUGGAUUCAUUUUUCCAGCUUAAUGGUUGUUGCACUUUGUUUACAAAGUCUAUGAAGUUACAAACAAAUGUUGCCAUUUGGAUUUUGGUAAUUGAGAUUGUGGUUCAUUUUGAAUGUGAAUUUGUACAUUUAGAAGGGUGCACCCAGGUAAGGUUUUUUUAAAGUGAUUAAAUGGUAAAUGGCCUGUAUUUAUAUAGCGCUUUACUAGUCCCUAAGGACCCCAAAGCGCUUUACAUAUUCAGUCAUCCACCCAUUCACACACACACUAAGUGUACAAUUCACUUACUGUGAUUGUACCACAGGGUUGUCACUGAGGAAAAUACCGGUACCAAAAAGAGAGACUUUUAUUUAUAAUGUUGUUGUAUGUUUGUAAUUUUCUUUCUUUGGUUUCUCGAUGAGUAAAAAUACAAAGCCGGCAUUUUUCAAAACUCACAGUUGCCUGAGUCUCACUCAGUUUGCCUCUCCUGUACGUAGCCGAACCUACUGGUCCAAAUCAUUGAGCUCUUUUGCAUCAGAUUUGGGUGAAGUACCUUUUGAUCUUAGAGUAUUUGAAACACAUCAGUGUUACAUAUGCCAUAUGUUAAAACAAGAUCUAGGGUGUGAUUAAAGUUAGAAGCUUAAAAACUGAUAAAAGAAGAAACAAAGGUUACUGGUAGUGAUAUUUAUAUCAGAAAUCCCUGCAAAAUCCUCUCCUGCACACACGAGUCUUCAAAAGCAAAAACCAUUAGAAACACUGCUGUUUAAUGCUAAAGGUGUCAUGCGGCGGCUGUGUGAAGGCGAGAGAGGACCCAAAUGCACAGCUCAAGACACACGGGGAUAACUCAAAAGGCAGGUCUUUAUUAAUAGGAACAUAAGUCAUACAAAACUAUACUGCGAGAAACUAGAGCUGAGGCACUAGGAAGACACGAGGGAAUGCACACAACCUAGAGGGACGACGCAACACGGAACAAAGGGAUACUCUGACAUAAAUACACAGAAGGUAAUGAGGGAAGUGGGAACACAUGGGGAACACAGCUGAGGACAAUCACCCAUGACAGAGCGGGGAGGACACGAAACUGAAAAAACUGACACCAAGAUGUGGACCUUAAACACAACACAGAGUACACAGAGAGGAGCACAGAGAGAGGCAGAGAACAAGAAGCAAUACACGAGGGGAUGAGAAGAAUACAGAACAUAAAGGAUGGGAACACGGUACCAGAACAAACACCACAAUGCAAGCACGGACACGGGGGAAUCCAAAUACCAAACCAACAAUCCUAUGAACACAAAGAACAAAAUACAAAACCACAGGAAAACCAAGAACACUGGGUUGAAAUGACCCAGGACCAUGACAAAAGGAUUCUACUCACUGCUUGAAGAAUAAAAUGUGUGUUUCUAUUAAGUGUUGAGAGGGAUUUUCUUUUUUUCAGAUGAUUCAAUUGAUUACCCAGUAAAGCUUGUGUUAAAUUAACUUACAGGUAGAACAAUCAAUCAACUCUGACACAGCUUCACCUAUACAUGGGCACAGCAGAGAGGGAGUUUCACAUUUACUGAUGUAAAACCAACUCAAUACGAUGAUCAAUGGAGGUUGAUGAAUUAUAAGGAAAGAGUAAUUUUAUACCCCACUUCAUCUUAAAAGGUACAAGCUCACAUGUGACAUCAGUAGGAGAGGAGAGAGCAGUUUGAGAUUAAACCUUAAAUAAGAAAUAAUUUCAUGCCAUUAAAGAGGAACUCUUUAAAAAUGACUCAAAGUUUGCAGUUUAUUUACC